CGUCGUCGACGUCGUCUAGAGAGGUUAGUUAGUAUACUGGCUCAGGACGAACGCUGGCGGCGUGCUUAACACAUGCAAGUCGAACGGGGAUAGCGUUGGAAGUCCUCGGGGUGGAAGAUGCUAUUCGAGUGGCGGACGGGUGAGUAACGCGUGAACAAUCUGUCCCAGACAGGGGGAUAACACUUGGAAACAGGUGCUAAUACCGCAUAAGACCACGGUGUCGCAUGGCACAGGGGUAAAAAGGAGCGAUCCGGUUUGGGGUGAGUUCGCGUCCGAUUAGCCAGUUGGCGGGGUAACGGCCCACCAAAGCGACGAUCGGUAGCCGAUCUGAGAGGAUGACCGGCCACAUUGGAACUGAGAGACGGUCCAAACUCCUACGGGAGGCAGCAGUGGGGAAUAUUGGGCAAUGGGCGAAAAAGCCUGACCCAGCAACGCCGCGUGAGUGAAGAAGGCCUUCGGGUUGUAAAGCUCUGUUAUAGGGGACGAAGGAAGUGACGGUACCCUAUAAGGAAGCCCCGGCUAACUACGUGCCAGCCGCCGC
rnacentral:rRNA from 1 species